AAUGUGUGUGUGUGUGUGUGUGUGUGUGUGUGUGUGUGUGUGUGUUGGUAGGGGGUAUAUAUACAUGCACACACACACUUUCUAAUCUCCCAUUAUACAUAUAAUACACAUUACACAUAUUAUAUAUACACCCCCAUAUAUAUAUAUGUAUGCGUGUGUGGGGGGGUAUAUCCAAUAUAUAUAAUAAAGGUAGUUCCUAGAUAGGAUUGGUCUGAUACAAUAAUUUGGAGCUGCAGUAGCAGUCCCUGUAAGGCUGUUGUUUCCAGAUACGACUUGAACGUUCUAUGCUUUUUAUUUUUUUUAAAGACAGAAUCUUGCUCUGUUGCCCAGGCUAGAGUGCGGUGACACGAUCACAAGUCACUGCCACCUCGACCUCACCCCAGUUCAAGCGAUCCUUGUGCUUCAGCCUUCGAAGUAGCUGGGAUUACAGGUGCACCACAGGUGCCAUCACGCUGCAAUUUUUGUAUUUUUAGUGGAGAUGGGGUUUUGCCAUGUUGUCCAGGCUGGUCUCGAAACCUGGCCUCAAGUGAUCUGCCCAUCUCAGCCUCCCAAGGUUCUAGGAUUACAGGCAUGAGCCACUGCACCCAGCCCAUUCUAUGCUUUUUUUAAAAAAAUUAAUUCAUUCAAUUAUUCAACAAAUAUUAAUUGUGCCAGGUACUUUUUUUUAUUAUACUUUAAGGUUUAGGGUACAUGUGCACAACGUGCAGGUUUGUUACAUAUGUAUACAUGUGCCAUUUUUGUGUGCUGCACCCAUUAACUCAUCAUUUAACAUUAGGUAUAUCUCCUAAUGCUAUCCCUCCCCCCUCCCCACACCCCACAACAGGACCCAGUGUGUGAUGUUCCCCUUCCUGUGUCCAUGUGUUCUCAUUGUUCAGUUCCCACCUAUGAGGGAGAACAUGCGGUGUUUGGUUUUUUGUCCUUGCGAUAGUUUGCUGAGAAUGAUGGUUUCCAGCUUCAUCCAUGUCCCUACAAAGGACAUGAACUCAUCAUUUUUCAUGGCUGCAUAGUAUUCCAUGGUGUAUAUGUGCCACGUUUUCUUAAUCCAGUCUAUCAUUGUUGGACAUUUGGGUUGGUUCCAAGUCUUUGCUAUUGUGAAUAGUGCCACAAUAAACAUACGUGUGCAUGUGUC
rnacentral:lncRNA from 10 species